rnacentral:rRNA from 1 species
CCUACGGGAGGCAGCAGUGAGGAAUAUUGGUCAAUGGACGAGAGUCUGAACCAGCCAAGCAGCGUGAAGGAUGACUGCCCUAGGGGUUGUAAACUUCUUUUAUAUGGGAAUAAAAUGUUCCACGUGUGGGCUUUUGUAUGUACCUUAUGAACAAGGAUCGGCUAACUCCGUGCCAGCAGCCGCGGUAAUACGGAGGAUCCGAGCGUUAUCCGGAUUUAUUGGGUUUAAAGGGAGCGUAGGUGGAUUGUUAAGUCAGUUGUGAAAGUAUGGGGCUCAACCGUAGAAUUGAAGUUGAAACUGGCAGUCUAGAGUACGUGAGGGGUGGGCGGAAUUCGAGGUGUAGCGGUGAAAUGCUUAGAGAUCGCGAAGAACUCCGAUUGCGAAGGCAGCUCACUGGGCUGCCACUGACGCUGAGGCGCGAAAGUGUGGGUAUCAAACAGGAUUAGAUACCCGAGUAGUC